CACAAACUCACCCCCGCCCAUCACCUUUUACGCCCUACCCUUCCCAUUCUAUGAGCUGCUCGACCACCGGGGAUUAACUGCUACGCGGGCGGCUGCUGGAGGUAUCUUGGAAAAAUGGACUCUGUCUCGCGCAUUUCCUCUAUGCUAGAAACAGCUCGCGAGCUCACAGUCGAAGCCGCUCACAAUGCUAGCAGUUCUAGAGGCGCUUUCAAAUCAACUUCCCCAUAUCGCCAUACCUCGUUUUCGCAGAUCAAGAAGCUCCUUGAUAGCAGGAAUGAUCGGGAUAUUCUGGAUGGGCUGCGGAAGGUCAUAGCGUUGAUGUAUAGGGCUGAGCCAUGCCUACCUUUCUUUUCAUCGGUCGUGAAGAACGUUGCGAACCCGAACAUCGAGGUCAAGAAACUAGUCUAUAUAUACCUCCUCCACCACGCCGAAUCCGAACCUGAUCUUGCACUACUCUCGAUCAAUGCCAUUCAAAAAUCAUUGACAGAUCAGAACCCUCAAGUGCGCGCCAUGGCUUUGCGUACAAUGUCAGGAAUCAGAGUUCCCGUGAUUAACCAGAUCGUUUCGUUGGCCAUUAAACGCGGUUGCGGAGAUAUGAGUCCUCAUGUGCGCAAAGCUGCGGCCUUAGCCAUCCCAAAAUGUUAUAAUCUGGAUCCGUCGACGUUGCCUCAACUUUUGGAAUAUCUAUCUACGCUCCUAGGUGACAGCCAGUAUUUCGUAGUGGGACCCGCUGUCUCAUCAUUUCUUGAGGUGUGUCCUGACAGGAUUGAUUUGGUCCACAAGCAUUAUCACAACCUUGUUAGGAAGAUAGUGGAUAUGGAUGAAUGGGGACAACUUGCGACUCUACGGUUGAUGGUAGUCUAUGCCAGGAAAUGUUUUCCUAGGAGAACAGAAAAACUAAAGGUUUCCAAGUCUAAGGGUUUUUAUGAAGAGGAAGAUGAGGGGAAUGCAGUGGCUGAGGAAUCUGGCGAGGAGAUUCAGGUAAUCGACCCAGACCUUGACCUCUUGCUCAGGGCAUGCAAACCUCUACUCCAAAGUCGGAACGCCGCCGUCAUUGUGAGUGUCGUCCGACUGUUCCUAUAUGUUGGGACUAAUGCGUACCUUGACACGGCUGUCGGACCAUUGGUUGCCUUGUUGCGGGGUCCGCAAGAUAUACAAUAUGUCGCACUAUAUAAUAUCAUAUGUGUGGCCCUCAUCGACCCAAAUCCCUUCUUGAAGUACGCUUCGCAUUUCUUAAUACGCUCGUCUGAUCUGCCGCAUAUAUGGAGGUUAAAGCUAGAAAUCUUAACUCUCCUAUUCCCACACUGCGGACUUCACCUUAAAGGCAUCAUUCUCAGUGAACUGGAGCAUUUUUCCCAUGAAUCACAACCUGAACUCAUUCGAGAAAGUGUAAGGGCAAUUGGUAGAUGUGCUCAGAAUGACUCAGCCACAUCAGCGUGGUGCCUUCGAGUUCUGCUGAGCCAGAUAUCCAGUGCCGAUGAUAAUCUUGUCUCGGAAGCCUUAACCGUCAUUAGGCAUCUUAUCCAACAAGAUCCAGCGUCACACAAAAAGACAGUCGUUAUGCUAGCUAAACACCUCGACACGACGACCAGCCCCGAUGCAAGGGCCAGCAUAAUAUGGCUAGUGGGUGAGUUUGCAGGCAUUGACGUGGGCAACGAUAUUGCCCCAGAUGUCCUGCGGAUUCUCGUAAAGGGAUUCGCAGAUGAAUCCGAAACGGCGAAGCAACAAAUUGUCCUUCUAGGCGCUAAGGUCUACCUCCACCACCUGCUACAUAUCGCUGAGAACAUCGAAACUACAACCAAUAAUAUCGAAGACGAGAACCAUGGCAACGACUGUGACAACGCUUCACAAACUCCAUUCCAAGCAGAACCUGGAGAUAAAGAUUCUAUAAAAGUCCUAUGGGAAUACAUCCUCCUGCUCGCCCGCUACGAUGUCUCCUACGACCUUCGUGAUCGCGCCCGCCUCUACAAAUCUUUACUCGCAGUACCGAGUUCCACGCAACUAGCCAGCCUCCUCCUACUCGCCCCAAAACCGGUCCCUUUUACCCCCUCCCCAUCAGAAACGCGCAAGGACCUACUUCUCGGCACAUCUACGCUGGUCGUAGGGCCCGAUGCUGGUAUCCACGGCUUGCGCGGUUACAAGCCUCUUCCCGAUUGGGUCCAGGCUGGGGAGGAGCCAGAUCCAAAACUUCGUGAGGAUGAGCUGAGCAGAGCUGGGCUUGUUGAGAAGGUGUAUCUGACGGCUGGUGAGAGGUUGGAUCAUGCGCUCAAGGAACAUGAUGUUGGGACGGGUAGGGUUAAGCAGAAUGGGGUUGUGGUGGGGAAUGGGAAGAAGACGUUGGAUGAUUGGCUUGCGGAGGACAGUGAGGAGAGUGAUGAUGA
rnacentral:sRNA from 1 species